CACGUAGGGCGCAAGCGUUGUCCGGAAUUAUUGGGCGUAAAGAGCUCGUAGGCGGUCUGUCGCGUCGGCUGUGAAAACCCGGGGCUCAACCCCGGGCCUGCAGUCGAUACGGGCAGACUAGAGUGCGGUAGGGGAGACUGGAAUUCCUGGUGUAGCGGUGAAAUGCGCAGAUAUCAGGAGGAACACCGGUGGCGAAGGCGGGUCUCUGGGCCGUAACUGACGCUGAGGAGCGAAAGCGUGGGGAGCGAACAGG
rnacentral:rRNA from 1 species